rnacentral:lncRNA from 1 species
GAAAUUCGUUAAUGGUACAUUUUAAUGGUACAUUUUCCCCUAUAUUAUGUUUGUAUCGUGCCGGGUAUAUGAAAACAAAUAGAUGGUCACAAGGAUUGUCUUACAUUUUAUUCUGAUACACGAUACUAAUUUAAUGACAUACAUAUCAAUUAGAUCGACAAAUGAAUCAACAAAAUCCUCUUAUUUGAACUCUAAAAUUUUCUCUUUUGUAGAAAUCUCUCACUCUUUUGUAUCCCUAUACGAAUCAAAUCGAAACCCGGAUUGAUUAAUUUUAUUUGAAAAAAAAAUGAUAAAGUUCAUAACGAACUUAAAAUCAUCGUGUAUAUCAAAAUGACUGGUAUUAUUAUUACUGAUCAGUAAAAUUCACAUUUAC